CCAAGAAAAACCGAGGCCUCCGCGCCGCCUAGAGAGGCCACACAGCGCUCAGGUCUCUCACUGGCCGCACUUCCGGCGGCUUCAUAAGAGCUUCCUGCGCCCUCCGCCUCUCUACACACGGGCCCAGCACUAGGCUUCACAGUGUUUACUGAGUGCCUGUGUGCGUUGGGCUGUUCUCAGAGCCGGCUCCACCAGUGAUCAGAAUAGACAGAGUUCCCAGGGAAUCCAUCUGCUCCUGGACCUCACAGGUGAAUGGGAAGGCAGGCAGCACAAGGAAUGUGUGAAUCACAGUGUAUGUCCAGAGGUGCUAAGUGCUCUGAAAGGUCUGAGAGGCACCACCGCCACUCACACGUGUCCCUUGGCUCGUUGGGUGGCAUGAAACAGUAAUGGACCACACACAUCUUCCUCUGGAUCCUUCAGCUUCAUUGGUUCCUGGCUGUGUUUUGCUCAAUGACAGCAAACCCUCACUUCUUCAGGACACCCACACCAUCAAGGAAAACACAAUUUUCAGUCCAUCCUGGAUUCCAGCUUAUGACCACAGGCCCCAGCUUGUCUCUCUGCCCUUCCCAGUUUCCUGUCCUGACCCAGCUAUGUCCCAUGAUUCUGUGAGAUGCAAUUUCUGUACCAUCACAUGAUUUACAUACACAGCUUCUGUCUCUGGUUCUGCGUCUCUGAUUAAACCCUGAAACAGUUUGCUCAGAAAACAUCUGCACAUGUGUGCACACUUGCUUUCCUAUUUGUUAAAGCAAGUGCAGGAUUAAACAUUUAAAUGUCACCCUUUCAAUUAUACCUACUUUUUUGUUUCCUUUAUCAUUAAGACUUGCAAGUGCAUGAUGAAAUCAAGGCCUGCCACCAACUCUACUUGAUCCAAUUAACUGCCAUUAUGAUUAGUAGUUACUGUACACUAAAAAUGUCCACACUGGUCCAAGCAGUCAGAGGGAGCCCCUGACCUUGGCUGACCUUCUUGAACCUGCUGUGGUUUUGGACUACAGGACCCCUGACUGUGCUCAGUGUAAAAGGAUCAGAGGCCAAAGUCUGCACUUGUGGGCGUGCACCUGAAUUUUUUGGUCCUUUUCCUAUGUUGUUAGAGCGCCAAGCUGGAAAUUGUCCUUUUGUGGUUGUGUUUAUAUUGACUUUUGACUAACCCCGAGUUUGUCAUUUGCCUUUGUACUUGGUUAUUUUUUGGUCAUGCAAAAGUUUAUUUCUGUGUAGUCACACUUAUCAGUGUUUUUUCCCUUACUGUUUCUUGAUUUUGAGCCAUACUAAAAUUGCCCUAAAUUUCAGUUCUAGAGAAUUUUAUACAUGUUUUCAUCUAGUACUUGUUUGGUUUUGUUUCUUUACAUAUAAAUCUCUCUUCCAGUUGGAAUUUAUUCUAUGUGAUACGAAGAAUGAGUUUGGUAACUAAAUGGCUACUGGUUAUCCCAGUACUACAUAUUAUGUUCACCCCUUGCCCAUGGGUUUGAGACACCACUUUUCUCUUUUCAUUUAACUUUUUAAAAUUUACUGAUUUUACAGAGAGGGGAGGACAGGUGGGGGGAGAGAGAAAGAAACAUCAAUUUGUUCCACUUAUUUAUACACUCAUUGAUUGAUUCUUGUACGUACCCUGUCUGGGAAUUGAACCUACAAACUUCGUGUCUCAGGAUGAUGCUCUAAUCAAGUGAGCUAUCUGGCCAGGGCAAGAUGCCAUUUUUCUUAUUUUUCCAUGUGGGAGUGGUCUCUCCAGUUGAUAUUCUGACAUUUGGAAAGGCUCAGAGCCAACCCAAUGAGCACAGAAAACCCUGCAUGCAGAAUAAGCCCCGUGGGUGCCUGGGACCCAGGCCACACUGCCCCCGCCUCCCAUGCCCAGGGGCCAGUGGUGAUGGUCUGGCUCUUGCUUGCAAAGACUUAGGUGAGUGGCGCAGUUGAGACUCUGCUGCUGCGGAGGCUGCAUGGUGUGGCCUACACUGUCUUGAGGCAUCAGAGUCCUAGGGUGUUGGGAGCCGGCCAGCAACCAUCCCUUGACAAGGGCAGGACGGUUGAGAUGCAUCUGCAAGGCAGAGGCAACUGUGGCUGGAUUUCCUGUCUAUCUCUCUUUGCAUGUUUGUUUUGGUGACCAAAAGGUGGUGGGAUUGUUAGACACUUGUAUUUCAGGUUCAUUGAUUAGCAUAAUUCCAAUGAAGUUAUACAAAAUAAUUUCUUGACCAGAGAACGAAGCCCCUGAAUGUCUAAAAGUUGUUGGAAUAACAGCCCUCCUUUACCUUGAACAGGAAUAUAUAUUAAUUAGAA